rnacentral:rRNA from 1 species
AUGGCGGUAACCCAAGACAUCACUCAAACAGAACGUGAACCGCUGAUCAUACAAAACUUGGCCAUCGAAGAAGGGACAAAACAUGAAGGGAUCGAACACCUGUACAACAACGUCAUGACAGCGAAUAAGGACAAAGGGCACGAGAUCUUAAUAAAUACAGAGACGACAACAGUAACAGUCAGCCACAUGGCACAAAGCUUCGACAAUGGAAAGCCAGUGGGCACCGAAACCAUGGCAGUCAUGCUACAGAUGUUGAAAAAGCAACUCAGGGGCACAAAGAGAAAGAUUCUAUCAACAUACAACACCGCAUCAAUACGCAUGGCCAACCAUGAAGAUCCAUUGGAGUUCAAAAAUAUAGACGAAGCACGCGUCAGAGACAAGACAAUUCCUAAAAGGCUUAAAAGAUUCCUUGAUCUGGAAGAAGGAGAGCAACUACAAGAUUUCGACAUGGAACAAGUCCCAGAGUUGAGAAAAAAAUUCUCUAUCAAAUAUUCAGCCAAUACAGAGAUACGGCCGCACUGUCAUUAA